GCGUUACAAUUAAUUCGUGUCAUACUGCGAAUAAUAUUUAAUAAUGAUUUGUCGCAUCGACUAUGCGGUUUUCAUCAAGCAACACGUUUAUACCAAUAUAUUUUUAUACAAUCUUCAUUUCCUAUGUUAGUCAUGUAAAAAUCUACUAACUAUGGUGCAGCAAUAUAGUAGAUUAAACGUCGGGACAUUAUGAACUGUUAUGAACAUACCAUUAGUUUCAUCGAAGGUUUUUCAAUAAAUGAUAAACUGGUAUGCGUAAGCUUAUUUGACUCUUACAAAUGUGUCAAAUUAUUGUACCUUCGAGAGGACGGUCUUUGUUGAUUUAUUGCAUCGUGAUUUGUUACUAUUCUAUUGACUUUAUAAAAGAAUAGAAUAUGUAGCAAAUAAACAGUGAGAUAUAUUCAUGAAAGAAAUCCUUAAAGAGAAGUAUCGAAUAACCUACAUCUCUUGACAUCUAACUAGUGUUGAUCAGCGUAUCGUUACGUUUUGUGAAUUAUUCUCAUCAGCUUGAGAAGAGAAUUUACCGACAAGUGCAUCGCGUAUCGUAGUAUCCGCGAUGAUGCGGCAAGAAAUAACUUUGACGAAGCCGGCACGUAAAAAACCGAACAUUGAUGCAUCGAUAGCUGAAUGAUUUUCAAAAAUACUAUAGAACAAGAAUUUUUAGCGAGUCCUUGUUUUGUUCUCGGAUCUAUCCUUUACCAUAAAUACAUCGAUGAUCUUUUAAAGAAUCGUACUUGAAGUGUUAUAGGCAUACAUGAAAUGGGUAGUGCUUGGUGGCAGUGUGCUGCAUGUUUGAGAACACAAGAAGAAGAUAUCUGCGAGUUGCAUUUGAAUAAUUGUAAUCUUUAUGAUGUACCACCUGACGUGUUCAUUUAUGAAAGGACAUUAGAGAAAUUGUAUCUUGAUGCCAAUAGGAUAAAGGAUCUUCCAAGGCCACUGUUUCAGUGCCAUGAGUUACGAGUACUUUCUCUUAGUGAUAAUGAAGUCACAACAUUACCACCCGCCAUAGCAUCAUUAAUUAACUUGGAAUAUUUAGACCUCAGUAAAAAUAGUAUUAAAGAGCUACCAGAUAGUAUAAAAGAGUGUAAAAAUCUUCGUUCUAUAGAUAUCAGUGUUAAUCCAUUUGAACGUUUCCCUGAUGCUAUUACACAUAUUGUUGGAUUAAGAGAAUUGUAUAUAAAUGAUGCAUAUAUAGAAUAUUUACCAGCAAAUUUUGGAAGACUUUCAGCUUUGAAAACAUUAGAACUUAGGGAAAAUAACUUGAUGACAUUACCAAAGAGUAUGAGCCGUUUAAUAAAUUUGCAAAGACUUGAUAUUGGUAAUAAUGAUUUCACUGAAUUGCCUGAAGUUGUUGGGGAUCUUAUCAAUCUCACUGAAUUGUGGAUAGAUGGUAAUGAUAUUAGACGUGUACCACUCAACAUUAAUCAGCUUUACCGUUUAAAUCAUUUUGACUGUACAAUGAAUGCAAUUCAUAUUAUACCAUCAGAAGUAGAAGGAUGGAGAGAUAUUUCGAUUAUGCAUCUUUCAUCAAAUGAAAUUUAUCAGUUACCAGAUUCCCUUUGUUAUCUACGUACAAUUGUGACUCUCAAAGUUGAUGACAAUCAAUUGAAUGCACUGCCAAAUGACAUUGGACAAAUGUCAAGCUUAGAGGAGCUUAUAGUUACUAAGAACUUCCUUGAAUAUUUGCCAUCAUCAAUAGGACUUUUGCGAAAAUUACAUUGUUUAAAUGUAGACAAUAAUUACUUGAGGUGCCUUCCACCAGAGAUUGGAAGUUGCACAGCAUUAUCGUUGCUAUCAUUGAGGUCGAACAAUCUAACUCGAGUUCCACCUGAAUUGGGACAUCUAUCCUCUUUAAAAGUACUCAAUCUUGUAAACAAUUGCAUCAAAUUUUUGCCUGUUUCUAUGUUGAAUUUGAGUAAUUUGAAAGCAUUAUGGCUGAGCGACAAUCAAAGUCAACCAUUAGUGCCAUUGCAGCAGGAAUUCAAUUGUGAAGAGGACAUGAUGGUGUUAAGUUGCUUUAUGCUUCCACAAAAACCGCGGCAAGAACUUGAACAAGUAACACCAGCUGUAGGAUUAAUUUCAAGUUCGAUUGUUGGUACUGGAAAAAGAAUAUGUUUUGCUGCUGAGGUAGAAUCUGAAAUCCCUAGACAACUUCAUCGAGCACCGACUCCCUACCCUAAAGAGCUGCGCAACCUUGCUAGGCAUGCCCGAAAUUUGCAUCAUCAAUCAGCGCAUGAUCAAAGAAUGCAUUUAGAACAGGAGACUAUGAUCAAAGAAGCUAUUAUUGCUACAACUACUCUGGACCUUACCUCAAAAUCUGGGACCUGUCUUUCACAAAGUUUAUUUAAUAAGGAUUCACACUCAUCGUUAUCACCAAUUGAACAUUAUACAUCAAAGGCAUGCAAGAAUAAUAGUUCUAUGGAUAUUGGAACAGAGCAAUCUGUUUCAGAAGAAUCUUCCGAUGAAGCAAACAAGACCGUACUUGCAAAAGAAAAAAGUCCGGAUAUCCGAGAAGCAAAAUAUAUUCGUAAUCCCACGUCUGAGUAUCUUUCCAAAACUCCAACAGUAGCAGAUUAUGUAAAUUCUACUUGGAAACCGGAUGAGUACUCGAAGGCAAACACAGCAAAAAUUGUUGAAUCAGACAAAUUUAUUGAACCCUAUAAGACUAUGCCUAUUGCCGCGAACAACAAAAAUACCGAUCAUGUUCAAGUGUCGAAAGUAAAUGAAGUUCCACCCGUCCCGCCACCGUACCAUAUUGCAGCCGCAUUUUCAAAAAAGGCGGCACUUUUUCAGCAAUUGAAUCAAUCAGCUCCAUUAGACUCGUCAACGAUGGCUCCUCCACCAAUUGAUAUGAACAUAUCAAAUUCGAAAAUAUCGCAGGGAACGGAAAUACAAAAUUAUGAUGGAGAACCAUUUAAAGUUGAAGAGCAUUUAUACAAUGACAAAUUUGUGUUGAAUAAUACAGAUAUGACAAACACCUCAAGUAACGAUGGAAAUAUAAACUCUUUUAGUGGCACCGAUCAACACACGUUAACGGAUUCAAUCGAUCCAGCAGCACAGUCAUUAGAAGGAGAUCGAUCGUUAAAACCAAGUAGAAUUCCUAUUUUAAAGACGAAACAUUUGGAAAGUAUGAAUUCUAUUUCAAAUAGCGAUCUAUCGAACAAAUGUACAAAUUCUUCUGUUGAAGACUAUGAAGCUUCAAAGAUAUUGAACGCAUCGUGUAUACCAACAUCUCCUAUAACUGGGAAAAAAUAUCGAAGUCCGCUAUCUAUGCAACCUAAAGUUUCGGAUCGACCAAAAAAGAUAAUAAACGGAUCUGUUUCAAAUAAUAAUACUUCCUGUGAUAAUUUAUCCAUAAAUGCAAUAAACUCGAGUCCAGUUACAAAUUCAAAUAUGGAAGGAAUUUCAAAAACUUCAUCUAUCGAAACGACGAAUACGAACAGUUCGAUCAACAUAAAAAAUGAAACUAGCUCUGGUCGAAGUACUCCAAUUCUAGCGAAUAAUAAAUCUUUAAACGAGGUGACCAAUUCUAACAUUGAUAAUUAUAAAGUUGCUGGACUGAAUGAGUCAUUACAUUCAGAAAGAAAACCAAGAUUUAAAUGGAUGUUUGGGCCGCACAAAAAUGCUAACGUAUUGCCUGUUCAAGUGAAAAAAAAUCCAGGUCUUGGUUUCAGCAUUGCUGGUGGAGUGGCAGGCGCAGAAACCGGAAUAAUUGUGACUAAAGUGAAUCCAGAUGGUCCAGCACAAGGUACCCUUCGACCAGGAGAUAAGAUCUUAGAAGUCGAUGGUAUAGAUUUCACUAAAUCUGAUCAUAACAAUGCUGUCGCUGUCCUUCGAGCAACCGGAGCAGUAGUAUCUAUGAUGAUUAGUCGUCAUCAAUGACAUCCAGUUAGAAAACGCAAUGAUAUCUUCUUUUUAUUUUCUGUAACUAGUGAUCAGUUUAUACACAUCAAACUGAAUACACUUCACUAGAUCAUAUUCCCUUUGAUACUGUCAAGCAAUUGAAUGACUGAAACAGCGUUACCAAAGGUGGGAGUGAUGGUAUUUAUUUGAGGAAAAUAUUUCUGGCUUCCAGUGGUUACAACUUGUGAACUAAGCUUUUUAAAAACAGAAAUAAUUUUGAGGAAGAAUUCUAUUCUUAGGUUAUACCAUAAAUUAGAAACGCGUUCUCUUGCACAAUUUAGGACGAGGAAAAGAAUUUGAAAUGUGAUGUAUAAAAAAACUAUUUUUAAGAAAAAUUCCUUCAUGGGCCAAUCCACAGCUUACUCAUAUUAUUUGGUUAUAUAAGUAGGUAAAAUAGGAACUAUUUAGUGAACAAUCAUAAGAUGAUAAGUUUCUUCCCGAAUUUCUAUUUCCAAAAGAAUGCAUAUAUUUGUGUUGUUUUAUGACGUUGAUUAUAUUUGUGUCAACUCACUUGUUCUCUUUGCAGAGAGCUGACAAUGUGCCAGAAACAAAAUACUAUUUAUUACUCAUAUAUAUUUAAAAAAAAUAUUAUAUGAAAAUGAAUAUAUAUUAUGCAUAUAUAUUAUAUACAAACAUUAUCUCUGUCAACUAGGCGAGAUUCUUACAGACACUUCUUUUGUGAGAUAUCAUGUGAAGUACAUAUUUUGUAUAUGUAGAAAAAUGGUUUUUCUACAAAUUUAUCCUAAUGCAUAGACUUUAAAAGCACAAAGAGUUCCAUAAUUAAUUUGCUUGUAUUAUUUACAAUUCGUAUUUAAAAAAUGAUACACUUUAAUUUCAUUUGAAAAACAUAUCUGUGAGAAUCUUAUUAA